GAUGAAGAACGCAGCGAAAUGCGAUACGUAGUGUGAAUUGCAGAAUUCAGUGAAUCAUCGAAUCUUUGAACGCACAUUGCACCUCUCGGUAUUCCGGGAGGUAUGCCUGUUCGAGCGUCUUUUGUACCCUCAAGCUCUGCUUGGUGUUGGGUGUUUGUUCCGCCUCUGUGUGUGAACUCGCCUCAAAACAAUUGGCAGCCGGCGUACUUGUUUCGGAGCGCAGCACAUUUUGCGAUCCAGAUCAACGUACAGCGGCAUCCAAGAAGCCUUAUUUAACGCUCUUGACCUCGGAUCAGGUAGGGAUACCCGCUGAACUUAAGCAUAUCAAUAAGCGGAGGA
rnacentral:misc_RNA from 1 species